AAAUAACCCAACUCAAACACAUCUAAAGACCGAAUCACACGGAGAGACGCAGUCAACGAUGUCAGAAUUUGCACGAGAGUAGAGAGCGUCAAUUCACAUACACUGUGUAGCGUAUGCUAACUUAACUGUCACGAGAAUCCAUUAGAAAAAGUUGUAUUGGUUAUGUAGCCCUUGUGAAUUAUUGUUGUGUGUUCCUUUUGACUCACAGUGUAUGUCAUACGGGAGCCUGCCUGCCUGCUCACAAAAGUGAAGACAGUUUUUAAAGAAUUCAGACGACACUGAGAAAAUUGUGCGCUGCCCUAUCAACACAGGUAGGCAUAACGUUAUUGUUUUCAAAUACAUAUUAUUGGCACUGGCAGUAUUAUUAUUAUCAACACUAAAUAGACAACUUUUAACUUUACAUGUCACAAUUCCAGACAUAACAAUGCACAAACAGUCUAAUUUGACCUAUGACACCCCAUCUGUUUUCUCUCAUUCACUACCUUGCAUUCUAAUUCCAGCGUGUACACACUCGUUCACGCACAUAAAAAUAUAUGCUUUUUGUUUGUUUUGGGCUUCAGAGUAAAUAUUAUCUGUCAACAUUUUGAUUAGUGUCUCAGCACAACAUGGAAGUGUGAAGUGAUUUGUUUGUUAAAACGUCCGCUGUGUAGAACUGUCACUGUCUAAAGCACUUAUGGAAAUAAUAAAUGUAUCCAUUUCCUUCCUGUGUUUUUACAGCUUGACGUCUAGAUGCUGGCCUUGAUGUCUGUGGAGACACUUGCCUCACAGUUAAAACCAAAAUUGCUUCAAGUGAUUUUUUGCCAAAUUUGAAAUCGGUUGGGUAUAUUUUUACACAUUUGAAAAGAAUGCCUUCCAACGCUAUUAUUAUAAGGGAUGUGUGGUGCACAUAGGAUAGGUAGACACUUCAGCUUUCUACUCAUACACAUUCCUGUAAAACGGAAAAUUAUUCCUGUAAAAUGAAAAAUCGGAGGCUUGGGAGUAUAAGAUUCUAUUUGCAUUUUGGUCAAAAUAUGGUUAUUGAAAUAGCCUUGUUCUGUUCAAUGUUUUCUACCAAUAUAGUACUCUAAAUACCCCAAUGCAUAUUGCUAAAUUUAAAAGACUACAAGCUAAAAAUCGCUGACACCAUUCAAACCAAUGAGGGUUCGGAACUUUAAAAGCUAAUUAACUCAGAAUAAUCUUUUUGCAAAUAGAACCUUAUAGUCCCAAGCUUUCGAAAUGGUGAUGCACAAGCCCUGCACUUUUACAAUGUCUGUGUUCCUAUUGAAAUUUGCACAUGUUUAGAGCAAGCCAUUAGGUAAAAUGUUUUUUUUGGCCUGGUAUAUGUCUGGUUCUGUAAUAGUCAGAUUGUUUCUGACACCUUUAUCAGAAUCCCACAGUUCUUACCUUUCUAACAGUACUAGCAUAUGUUUGUAGGACUUUUAGUUUUUAAAUGUACUUCAUGCAUCAUUUUGAAAAAUCCACCAGAGUUGAACAGGUAUCCACUAUUACUUGACCUUAAGAAACAACAUUACACAUUACAUUUAAGUCAUUUAGCAGACGCUCUUAUCCAGAGCGACUUACAAAUUGGUGCAUUCACCUUAUGAUAUCCAGUGGAACAACCACUUUACAAUAGUGCAUCUAAAUCUUUUAAGGGGGGGGUUAGAAGGAUUACUUUAUCCUAUCCUAGGUAUUCCUUAAAGAGGUGGGGUUUCAGGUGUCUCCGGAAGGUGGUGAUUGACUCCGCUGUCCUGGCGUCGUGAGAGAGCUUGUUCCACCAACAACAAGAAGGACUUGACAGCGUCUACAGAGGAUACAAAGGAGGAGGAGGUGAGCCCUAGGACCAUGCCUCAGGACUACCUGGCCUGAUGCCUCCUGGCUGUCCCC
rnacentral:lncRNA from 1 species